CAAAUCAAGGUGAAAAGCGCUUAUCCAAAAAAGCCGGAGCGAACACCGCGAUUCUCGUCGCCAUUCCACGCACCUGUGUUCAUGGAUUCACGUUUACAAUAACAACAUCGCGCUUCAUAUCAGAGCAUCGCGCUCAUCACCAUAACUCAUGGAUUCGUGUUCUUGGAUUUAUUUCGACAUCAUUCAUGGAAGUUCGUAAAACCGAGGCGAGACUCAGAUCGAAACGAGAAAUGACUCACCGAAUUUCUAAGAACAGGUACGAUUUCCUUGUCCUUCCUUCGCUUCGUAUUCUCCUUGCCGUCUCUGAAAACCUAGGGUUUUUCGUGGUCGCCUCAAAAAUUAGGUUUUUUUUUCCUCCCCUCCAGUAUUCGUUUCGCCCCUUUUUAUAUCCAAUCCGUUAGGGUUUUCGAGCUAGCUAUGGAGAUCAAAAAGGGAAACCUCUUGGAAGUGCUUUUAGGUGCUCAGUUUUUCCUGUCUCGCUUGAUACUUAAAUCUGGAAAUGGUAAUACAAACUGUGCACUUUCUUCUCUAAUUUUGUCCUAAUGCUCUUUUGGGAUAUUUUUUGAAUUUUUACAGCCUUUUGCUAAUUACUUGGUUUUACUGCAGUGAAAAUCGGAAUGAUUUUAAGAUUUUGAAAGGCAGCUUAAUGACUGUUAUAGUUUGGGUUAUGCAGGUCUUGCGCUUGGAAUUGCUGUGAGUAGGAUUCUUUUUGAAAUGGUUUUGAGAACCAAUCAUGAAAGGCUUUCUUGUUAUCAAAACCUCAGGGAGAAGUAAAUUUAGAAGUGACCAGAGUUCCUUCAAAUCAUUCUGCAACGGUGUGCCCGUCAAAAGCAGACGUCAUGUGGACCAUAGUUUCCUUUGAAUUCCAUCAAGUAUGCAAUCAAUGCCAUAACCUGUACUGUUUUACCAAGACCCAUCUCAUCAACUAAAAUUCCAUUUAAUUUGUUGUUGUACAAAGAAAGCAUCCAUUGCAAUCCAACAAGCUGAUAGUCUCUCAAUGUUCCAGCUCGUAACAGGGAUGGUUGUUAGGGAGGUUCGGUAAUGGAAGUUGUAGCUUGUUGCUUUUUGGAUGCCGGUUCCGUUGCGGCUUUCGAUACAUCGUUGUGGAAGUUGGAGAAGCCAAAACUGGUUCAAGAGGUUAAGGUUCAUUUUGGAAGUUUGGGGCAGUUUGGAUUGUUAGCUGCAUUUUGCGGUUAUGGUUGGUGUGAAGCUUCUGGUUCCGUCGAUUGAGAAAUUGGAAGGGUUAUAUGGUUCUUGGAGAGUUGAGGGAGAAGUUAGAGUAUGUUAUUGAGGUUUGUUAGGAAUUCGGUUUGGAUUGGAAACAUAUUGAAUUGUUUAGAUUGUGUAUUGAAAGUUAAUUGGAUGAAUGAGAUUAUGUAAUGAAUGUUUAUUGAA